rnacentral:rRNA from 1 species
CCCUUAGAUGUCCUGGGCUGCACGCGCGCUACACUGGAAGUUACGGAUUGAGAUACUACCUUGUCCGAAAUGGUCCGGGUAAUCACCUAAAAGCUUGUCAUAAUUGGAAUGGAUUAUUGUAACUAGUAAUCCUGAACGAGGAAUUCCUAGUAAGUCCCAGUCAACAGCUGGUACUGAUUACGUCCCUGCCCUUUGUACACACCGCCCGCCGCUACUACUGAUUGGACGUUUAAGCAAGAUUUUUAAACACUGACAGUGUGUAGUUCACGCUAUACUACAGUGAGAAGAAGAAGAUCGAGCUUACUUGUCUAGAGGAAGUAAAAGUCGUAACA